UUCGGUGACAAUAGCGUGGGGGACACACCCGAUCUCAUUCCGAACUCGGAAGUUAAGCCCCACAGCGCUGAUGGUACUGCCUUGGUGACGGGGUGGGAGAGUAAGUCGUCGCCGGGA
rnacentral:rRNA from 1 species